AUAAUCCCUGGCACCGUGGCAUAAGGAAGCUGCUUAGGCGCUGUUUGAAAGACCCACAUAGAACUUUGAUGCUGUUUAUCUACUGCAAAAGGCGAAUUCAAGCAGCGAUCUUUAGCGUGCCAAAAUGAGCUGCUUAACCGUAGAGUUGGGAACCAGAUUUACACACGUAAGUUGGCAACCGGCAUACCCGGGUAUUCCACACGUUUUGAUGCAAAAAAUUUACGAUUUUCAUAGGUAAACAAUGCUUUCUAUAUUUUAAUGCUGUAAGCAAGUAGUGCCGACCAUAUAUUCUCUUCUAUUUCAUUUAUUCAUUAAGUUUUUUUUUUCAUUUUAAUAUAAAAAUAACGGUCAUAUUGAAAUUUGGAAUCGCUUGAAUUUGACUCGAAAAUAAGCACAAUACGAAAAGAGGAAGAAGAGAAACGUCAUUUUCCAUACAAAAUGUAUGGAAUACCCGGGUAUGCUGGUUGCCAACUUACGUGGUAAAGUUAAAAAAAAAUUCAAAUAAAAUACUUACAGGCUGUUUAAAAUUACAACUUAUACACCAAAAAAUCACAAAUUAAAAGUUGGGAGGCUACGGAAAAUGUCAGGUCAAUAAAAGCAAUGAAUCAAAAGUUACAGGGUUUACCAAGUCACUUUGCGAUGUGAGCUGCACAAUUCAUCUCACUUGAUACGUACAGGCGGUCCCCAAGAUACACGGUACCUCUUAUACGCGGAUUCGGAGAUACACGGUUUUUUUUAAUUUGACAGUUCUUUGAGAAAAUUGUACUGUUUUGACACAUCAAUUGUAAAUUUCCAAAUAAUUUCCGUUUCGAUCCAAUGUUAAAAACUUUUUAAAAUGAUUUAAAACUGUUAUAUUCAGUCAGGAUCAUAUCAAAUAAUUCAUAAAAUGACUAAAACCGCUCCCUACUUGCAAAAUUACACGAAAAUUUGUGAUAUUUUAGCUGGAAAUCACGAGAUUCGACUUACGCGGAAAUUCGAGAUACGCGGUAUUUUGCGGCCGUUUUCGGUCCCCAUUAACCGUGUAUCUCGGGGACCGCCUGUAUUUCUAUUCUGACGUGCUACUUCAUUUGGACCGAAAUAAUUUUCUAUUCCGCCGCAUUCAUUUUCAUCCAUUAUAUGAAGUCUUUUCACAGGGGAUGUUAGCUGGAGCCGUCCGCAAUGUUUACAUUUUUUUCAAAAAUAAAUUUUUGGGCUUUUAGUGCUCAUUUGUGAUACAACUAUGUUGUUUAACAAAGAAUAGAAGUUUAUCUUUGCUCCGCUGUAGCAUUCUAGCCGAAACAUGGGUUAUUCAUUGAGUUAUAAGCAGAUUUGACUGAGCAGGUUCAAAUGCUAAUAUCUCAAAGAAUAAUCCAUUUUUCGGCUAGAAUGCUACAGCGGAGCAAAGAUAAACUUCUAUUCUUUGUUAAACAACAUAGUUGUAUCACAAAUCAGCACUAAAAGCCCAAAAAUUUAUUUUUGAAAAAAAUGUAGACAUCGCGGACGGCUCCAGCUAACAUCCCCUGUGAAAAGACUUCAUAUAAUGGAUGAAAAUGAAUGCGGCGGAAUAGAAAAUUAUUUCGGUCCAAAUGAAGUAGCACGUCAGAAUAGAAAUACGUAUCAAGUGAGAUGAAUUGUGCAGCUCACAUCGCAAAGUGACUUGGUAAACCCUGUAUUGCAGUUCGAAGUUGAAAAAAAUACCCGGGUAUCCGGUUGUCAACUUAAAGGUUAUAUGGGUUUGUUCGAGUCGGAUGUCGUGUUCGAUUGGUGCAAGAGCGCCGCCUUACUUUUACCAAAAGCUACUGUGCAUUUGUGUCACAUCGUUGCCCCUCUUUUAGUAAAUAAAUCGGCUGAUCUAUCAUCAAUAUCGUAGAGAUAAAAACCUAUCUUCUUCGCUCUACUACAACCUAUGAACAAUGCAUCGUCAACUCACCGAAGCUUCUUCUGUACGCUGUUGCGGGACUGCAGGACAUCAUUGCAAAUGCGCUGAGAUUGCCCUGCUAAACAGCAAACAAAUUCAAAUGCUAACCAAAAUCGUUGUUGACAUUAAAAUGCAAAACGACGAGAUUAUUGAGUGGCUGCUUCAACGCGACCAAAAUCCAGUUCCGCAAGAAACGCCCGAAAUGAUACAGCCAACGCAAGAAAACGAGGAAAUUAUUACGUUGAUUGCAUCUAAAAAGGAGCUAAUUGAUUUCGAGCAGAAUCUAGGUUUCGAGGAUCAGUUUGAGGACGUGAAGCGUAAAUUGCAGGCCAAAAUGAAGGCCACAGCAACAAUGGAGCGACUUCACGAAGCUUUGUACCUUAUGUUCAAUAGAUUGUUUUUGGUUGAAUGUAGCUGGAGCGGUAGAGGAGUUACUGGACCGAAAAUAGCCUUUCGACGAUAUGUAAAUGUAUUGCGGCUUUUUGCUGACGUAGGGAAUGUAGAUGGCCAAAAAGUAGAUUUUGAAUCCCUUGAGAAUUUUUUUCAAAAAAAACUACGAAAUGCGAAAAACAGUGCCGUUGUAUCCGGCACAAUAAAAAGCGUUUCUCGUAGCUCAUUCUCACGGAAGUGCAAAGGACGCCCUAAGAAAAAAAUGAAUUAGAUAGGACAUAAUCAUUUAAUUACGUAAUGCAAAAAAUGCAAGAUUUCAACCCCCUCUCUCUAAGAACAGCUUUUUUAUUGAACGAGAUCAGUUUUUUUUGUGAUUUGAACUGUAUUAAGGGGCAUUCACAAUUUUUGAAACGAAACAAGAUACAAUUAUAUUGCCUUCUACAUAAGGAAAAGUUGUCCCAUACAACCGUCAAUUUCAAAAAAAAUCUGUUAAUCGUAUGCUCAGCGCCGUUUUGCAAUGUUCUUGCAUCAUCAUCAUCAGAAGCAUAUUUCUUACAGCUAUCUUCCUGGUCCUAUAUAAAUAUGUUAAUCUUUCCACUA